AUUGAACGCUGGCGGCAGGCUUAACACAUGCAAGUCGAGCGGAGCGAGGGUGCUUGCACCUUAGCUUAGCGGCGGACGGGUGAGUAAUGCUUAGGAAUCUGCCUAUUAGUGGGGGACAACAUUCCGAAAGGAAUGCUAAUACCGCAUACGCCCUACGGGGGAAAGCAGGGGAUCUUCGGACCUUGCGCUAAUAGACGAGCCUAAGUCGGAUUAGCUAGUUGGUGGGGUAAAGGCCUACCAAGGCGACGAUCUGUAGCGGGUCUGAGAGGAUGAUCCGCCACACUGGGACUGAGACACGGCCCAGACUCCUACGGGAGGCAGCAGUGGGGAAUAUUGGACAAUGGGCGGAAGCCUGAUCCAGCCAUGCCGCGUGUGUGAAGAAGGCCUUUUGGUUGUAAAGCACUUUAAGCGAGGAGGAGGCUACUUAGAUUAAUACUCUGGGAUAGUGGACGUUACUCGCAGAAUAAGCACCGGCUAACUCUGUGCCAGCCGCCGCAGUAAGAC
rnacentral:rRNA from 1 species